GACGAACGCUGGCGGUGUGCUUAACACAUGCAAGUCGAACGGUAAGGCCCUUUCGGGGGUACACGAGUGGCGAACGGGUGAGUAACACGUGAGUAACCUGCCCUCAUCUCUGGGAUAACAGUCGGAAACGGUUGCUAAUACUGGAUAUGAGCUUGCAAGGCAUCUUGUGGGUUGGAAAGAUUUUUUUGGUUGGGGAUGGACUCGCGGCCUACCAGCUUGUUGGUGAGGUAGUGGCUCACCAAGGCUUCGACGGGUAGCCGGCCUGAGAGGGCGACCGGCCACAUUGGGACUGAGAUACGGCCCAAACUCCUACGGGAGGCAGCAGUGGGGAAUAUUGCACAAUGGACGGAAGUCUGAUGCAGCAACGCCGCGUGCGGGAUGACGGCCUUCGGGUUGUAAACCGCUUUCAAUUGUGACGAAGCUUUUUGUGACGGUAGCAGUAGAAGAAGCACCGGCUAACUACGUG
rnacentral:rRNA from 1 species